GACGAACGCUGGCGGCGUGCUUAACACAUGCAAGUCGAACGGAAAGGCCCUGCUUUUGUGGGGUGCUCGAGUGGCGAACGGGUGAGUAACACGUGAGUAACCUGCCCUUGACUUUGGGAUAACUUCAGGAAACUGGGGCUAAUACCGGAUAGGAGCUCCUGCUGCAUGGUGGGGGUUGGAAAGUUUCGGCGGUUGGGGAUGGACUCGCGGCUUAUCAGCUUGUUGGUGGGGUAGUGGCUUACCAAGGCUUUGACGGGUAGCCGGCCUGAGAGGGUGACCGGCCACAUUGGGACUGAGGUACGGCCCAGACUCCUACGGGGGGCAGCAGUGGGGAAUAUUGCACAGUGGGCGGAAGCCUGAUGCGGCAGCGCCGGGUUCGGGAAGACGGCUUUCGGGUUGUAAACCGCUUUCGCCUGUGACGAAGCGGGUGUGACGGUAAUGAAUAAAGAAGCACCGGCUAACUACGUG
rnacentral:rRNA from 1 species